GUAGGGAAUAUUGGGCAAUGAUCGGAAGACUGACCCAGCCAUGCCGCGUGCAGGAAGACGGCCCUCUGGGUUGUAAACUGCUUUUAUCUGGGAAGAAAAAGGCCAUGCGUGGCAAAUUGCCGGUACCAGAUGAAUAAGCACCGGCUAACUCCGUGCCAGCAGCCGCGGUAAUACGGAGGGUGCGAGCGUUGUCCGGAUUUAUUGGGUUUAAAGGGUGCGUAGGCGGCUGAUUAAGUCAGCGGUGAAAGACUUCGGCUUAACCGGAGCAGUGCCGUUGAUACUGGUUGGCUUGAGUGUCGGAGGGGUACAUGGAAUUGAUGGUGUAGCGGUGAAAUGCAUAGAUACCAUCAGGAACACCGAUAGCGAAGGCAUUGUACUGGCCGACAACUGACGCUGAUGCACGAAAGUGUGGGGAUCGAACAGGAUUAGAUACCCCAGUAGUCC
rnacentral:rRNA from 1 species